rnacentral:rRNA from 1 species
YGAUCCUACGGGAGGCAGCAGUGGGGAAUUUUCCGCAAUGGGCGAAAGCCUGACGGAGCAACGCCGCGUGAGGGACGAAGGCCUCUGGGCUGUAAACCUCUUUUCUCAAGGAAGAAGAUAUGACGGUACUUGAGGAAUAAGCCACGGCUAAUUCCGUGCCAGCAGCCGCGGUAAUACGGGAGUGGCAAGCGUUAUCCGGAAUUAUUGGGCGUAAAGCGUCCGCAGGCGGCUUUUCAAGUCUGCUGUUAAAGCGUGGAGCUUAACUCCAUCAUGGCAGUGGAAACUGAAAGGCUUGAGUAUGGUAGGGGCAGAGGGAAUUCCCGGUGUAGCGGUGAAAUGCGUAGAUAUCGGGAAGAACACCAGUGGCGAAGGCGCUCUGCUGGGCCAUUACUGACGCUCAUGGACGAAAGCCAGGGGAGCGAAAGGGAUUAGAUACCCCUGUAGUCCUGGCCGUAAACGAUGAACACUAGGUGUCGGGGGAAUCGACCCCUUCGGUGUCGUAGCUAACGCGUUAAGUGUUCCGCCUGGGGAGUACGCACGCAAGUGUGAAACUCAAAUGAAUUGACGGAAU